GGCGAAUUUUCGGCAAGAUUUUACCCCAGUGAAAAAGGCUUGUAAUCCACAGUGAUCAGCUAAGAUGUUGUUUCACUGGAUUAUUUAAUGGAUAGACUUAUUGGGCAUAUAAUUGGAUAAUUCUGUCCUCAACCUGGAAGAUAUGUAUUGUUCCUAACCAUCUAUAAUCCAUUCUCUAUGAAGUUCAGACUGUCUGCUCUUCCUUUGGAAAUACACAGUUAGUCAACCAACAUAGAAACACACAAACUUGAAGGAUUCUCUAGUGAGGGCUUAUGGAAAUGAUCUAUAUCUACUCUCAGAAUGGUGAAAGACUAUCAGAUUAAGCAAAGACUAACAGAAUAUCCUCUCUUGGAACACUGAAACAAGAAAAACAAACAGGAUGGGGGAUUUAAGAAGAACAUAGAUAAAUAUGAUUUCCAACCAAUUUAAGUACGAUCAUAGACUGUGGUUUACAGGAUGACAAAGAAAGGACCCAGGAUUGUAUCUUUUACUGUCAGACACUGAGUAUGGAUAAGAUGUAGCUAUUUAUCAGACUGAGAUCUAGUCAAAUCAAGUAUUGAAAAUAUGAUUUCUGAUAGCAUGAGCUCUUUAAAAACUAUUUCUCACGGACCUCAAAGUAUCUGAAUGUGACUUUUAUUUUGACCAAUUCAUAUUGAUGACUGUUGUUAUGUAUGGGAAUUACACAUUUAAACCUUUUAUUUUUCAUCUUAUUUCUAUAACCCCCUAGAAAUUACACAGAUAUUCAGAUGCUGGAUUUAAUGUUAUUAUUUAACUUUCCUGGAAUUGUAAAUAUAUUUUGUUUGUGUAUGUAUCAUGUUUAAUUUUGAAUUUAAAAUUGGUCUCAAUAAGACCCCCAAUAAAGAUGCAAGUGUCCCAUAAUCUGUGGUUUAAUAAUAUCUUGAAUAUCUUUAUCAUACCAUAUUCAUCAUACUAAUUACAUAUAGAAUGGUUGUAGGAAUACACUUUGUUGUUUAGCACACUUUGUCAAGGUCAAAGCAUAAGAUUAUUGAGAUGACUUCUUUGACAAUAAUUUGUAACUUACAAACUUCACAUCAUAAGUACACAGAUGAAGAAUCAAUAAGAUAUUUCUAUAGAUUUUUUGGAUCAUUUACUCCUGGGUAAAAGUUAGUUACUAACUGAGAUUACUGAUUUGAGUCCUGUAAUGCAAUAACUUAAACAUUGUGUGAUAACUUAUAGACUUUAUAAAAAUUAGGUGCAAAUUCUUAGGAAAGGAUUGAAAUGUUAAUCAAAUGUACAAUGUUCAAGGGUGUUUAUAUGACUAUUACUAUGUAAUACCUUAGAAUUCUGUAAAAAUUUUAUUAUCACUGCGUAGAUAAAGACUGGUUGGAAUAAUUUAUGUUUUGAAAUAAGGUUUAGGGAAAAAAGUCAAGAAUGUGGAUAUCAUACUAAUUACAUAUAGAAUGGUUGUAGGAAUACACUUUGUUGUUUAGCACACUUUGUCAAGGUCAAAGCAUAAGAUUAUUGAGAUGACUUCUUUGACAAUAAUUUGUAACUUACAAACUUCACAUCAUAAGUACACAGAUGAAGAAUCAAUAAGAUAUUUCUAUAGAUUUUUUUGGAUCAUUUACUCCUGGGUAAAAGUUAGUUACUAACUGAGAUUACUGAUUUGAGUCCUGUAAUGCAAUAACUUAAACAUUGUGUGAUAACUUAUAGACUUUAUAAAAAUUAGGUGCAAAUUCUUAGGAAAGGAUUGAAAUGUUAAUCAAAUGUACAAUGUUCAAGGGUGUUUAUAUGACUAUUACUAUGUAAUACCUUAGAAUUCUGUAAAAAUUUUAUUAUCACUGCGUAGAUAAAGACUGGUUGGAAUAAUUUAUGUUUUGAAAUAAGGUUUAGGGAAAAAAGUCAAGAAUGUGGAUAUGACUUUUAUUCAAAUGGUGCAUUACAGCAACUCUGGUGAUUUACAUACCUUCAGUCAUAAAUACAUGUAGAUAGGUAUUUGGAAGACUCCUUUAGAUUUUGAAAUUUUUAAUUCAAAAGUAUAGAAUUUAAGUUUGAAAGAUUAAAUGGCAGCAUAUCAUUUGCUUGUGAAUUAAAAAAUAAAUCCAAACAUAUACAUCUUUGGAUGAUAAUUGUAGCAUUUUAUCAAUUCCUGGACUUCGGUCUUGAUAUCAUCCUUUAAUGUCCUUAAAAUUUUAAUGACUGUCUUUUAGUUUUAGUUGAAUUAGUUUCUUUUCUACAUGUGAAAAUUACAUCAUCCAAAGAAGUUCUUCAUCUGCAUGUUAUAUGAAGAAGACAAUUUUCAUUACAGUGAAAGAGAUUGUUUUGUUAAACAUAUUACAUUGAUGCACAAAUAUACUUUUAGAUUUUUAAUAGCUAGGGUUCAUAUUUCUUAAUAUGGAAUGCUAAGUACUGUUGAUUUCAAUUUUUUGUGAACAAAAACAUACUAGUAGAAAAAAAAUGUACAUGAUGUGUUAGAAAAGCAUGUGUAAACCUGAUGACUUUAUAUUUGCUGAUUAAUUCAAUUAUGAGUUUCAUCUUUGUUUCAAUGUAAACAUUUCUAAGUAGGGCACACAUCAGAAACUCUUAAAAUUCUGACUAUCAGGGUUUAACACAACAAUUCCAAAUGAUUUUUGGACGCUUUUUAUGUAUCGAAAAAAAAAAAAGACAAAACAGAAUGUUUCUUAACAGAUGUUCCAAUGGAAAACAACCACAAAGAAAUGAUUUGAUAUGUUCUUUAUGUGAUUCAUAUAAAAUGUAUUUUGAAAUUGUACCCUAACAUUUAUCUUUUGCAUAAAUACAUUUUUUUUUUUUUUUUUUUUUUUUUGGUGGAGAAUUUCUCAUAACUUUGAAAAAGUAGUCUUAUUGUAUAAUAUGGUUAACUUAAAAUUUUGUAGACUUAAAAGUUGUAAAUGAUGUGUUAUACAUCUUACAUAUGUUACCAUUUCAUUUAAGGGCAUUCAGCAUAUAUUGUGGUUUUGUCUUAAAUUUGUUUGUUCAUGUAAUCAAUAAUUUGAGAAUACUCAACUCAAAUUAGUUAAUGCAUGAGAGAAUAGGCAAGAAAAUCAGGUUUAAGAAAUGAUUUUUACUAUUUAUAAGGGGUUAAUCUAUAUAUAAUUGAAUCUAUAAGUACAUUUAGUCUAUACACUUAAGGUAUUUGUUUAUGAAAUAAACUUGCAUUUGAGCAUUUUAAGACAAUUGUAAACAUUACUUUAACCAGUUUUAAAAAAAUGAUUAGAUUCACUGUUACCAUGUAAUUCCUUGUAAAA